rnacentral:ncRNA from 1 species
CAGUGGGAGUAUAAGCCCACCCGGCAAGGGUUCGCUCCAGCCGGUAGCAAUCGGAGCGGCGGUGGAGGUGACGAAGCCGUCGAAGCCUUCGAUGGAAAGGGUCGCGUUGGCGACUCCGCGAGUCGGCAGGCCGUAACAGCG